rnacentral:rRNA from 1 species
GAUGAACGCUGGCGGCGUGCAUAACACAUGCAAGUCGAACGAAGCACUUUUACAGAUUUCUUCGGAAUGAAGUUUUAGUGACUGAGUGGCGGACGGGUGAGUAACGCGUGGGUAACCUGCCUCACACAGGGGGAUAACAGUUGGAAACGGCUGCUAAUACCGCAUAAGCGCACAGUACUGCAUGGUACGGUGUGAAAAACUCCGGUGGUGUGAGAGGGACCCACGUCUGAUUAGCUAGUUGGCAGGGCAACGGCCUACCAAGGCGACGAUCAGUAGCCGACCUGAGAGGGUGACCGGCCACAUUGGGACUGAGACACGGCCCAAACUCCUACGGGAGGCAGCAGUGGGGAAUAUUGCACAAUGGGGGAACCCUGAUGCAGCGACGCCGCGUGAGCGAAGAAGUAUUUCGGUAUGUAAAGCUCUAUCAGCAGGGAAGAAGAAAUGACGGUACCUGACUAAGAAGCACCGGCUAAAUACGUGCCAGCCGCCGCGGUAA